GGUACUGCCACAGUCAGCGAGCUCCACCCGAUCUGCACCUCCGCUUCAAAUUGCAGCUCCAUCCGGCCGGCCGCCCCCAUAGUUUAGGCCUGAGUCAGGUACGCCUUCUUUGUUGAGUCGUGCUGCUACUGAGUUAUUGCUGGUCUGCUUGAGAAGUUGUGGUUGUCUUGGAAUGUGAUAACUUAGCACUAAUGUUGGCAGAUCUGAGAUACAAUGGGUCUCCAUCAUUUCAUUUCUAUUUGUUCAAAUCCAUGGACUGCAUUUCUUGAUCUGAUUUACUUGUUAAUUUGAUUUACCCAUGGGUAUUUGACAGAGUUGUCUGUACCUGGCAAAGUUAUCCACGCUUGUGCCUUGCUAGGUCAACGUGAAUACCAUGAACCCGAAUACAUACAUAUCUGUCAAUAAUAUGGAUAAAAUUAGAAUUUGACUUGAUAGGAAAUAUUGAGAAAGAAAUGUUCCACAAUUUCGUACAAUUUACCCCUCUGUGCAGUCUCUCCCAUGUCGUGGUCCAAGCAGCAGCCACUUGAAGGAAACGUGGUCUAGCUCCUAGGAGGCAUGCCUUUUGGUUGUUCACGACUGAAUGUACUCUAAAAAUCCUAUGGUAAAAAAUGAAAACAGGGGGUGGAUGGCUAUAUUGAAUGAACAAUGCUAGAUUAUGAUAUUUACCUUACUGCUGCACAAUCAAGAAAGUUCAUAACACAUAGCAAGUUAUUAGUGACUGCAUUAGAAGAAACGAAAGAGCAUUUGAUAAUUCUGAUGCAUAUGUUGCGGAUUCAUAGUUUGGUCAGGAGUUACAGUAUAUUCAGUUUGUGAUAGGUAGAAGAUACACAUACCGCAAAAUAGUUAUUAUGCAAUAAGUUGAUCCUAUGCACUUGCUCAAUCUACUAUAUGCUAAGUCCAUAUUUAGUGAGCAUGAUCCACUGCUGUUCUAACUGCUUGUUAGUAUAGUUUGGCCAACUGCGAAGUCCUAAUGUAGGCAAAAGUUUGGUAGCAAAAGUAUAUCUUGAUAGUCCUAUAAGAAAUAUUUUUGUGUCAAUUACAAUAAAUUUCUAGGAUCUUAGAUUAUAUUUGAACAAUGUGAAUACAUAUGUAAGGUAGAGUUUACAACCUUUUACUUGUGUGAGGCUUGACUACAUAAUUUCCUUGGUUCUUGUGCUGGUAUUUAUCACUGUCAUCAUUGCUGGUAUCCUGUGACAUGUAGCAUGCUAUAAAUUUGGGAUUGACUGUAGAUAUCUUCAAACCUUCUUUUACUAACACCCUGAUUGUGUCCAUCAUAAAAUGGAUAUAACCGGUCAAGAGAAAGUUCCAACGGUGGCUGCAUCCUCAUGAGUGUUCAUCAUUAGGAAGAAUGGGCUACACAACGCUACCACCACCAGGACACGAGCAGGUCCUGCGAACAGACGACGUGCCCUUCGUUGGGUUGAUGAAAAUUUCAGGUGUUGCACCUUGCAGGAUAUUAUUGUCUCCUGGAGCCAUUCUGGUGGGUCGUGAUGGUCCAAGCAUCAGAGAUUCUAUUGGCCUUCUUUGUUCUUAAGCAUGCUAAUUUUUUUGUUAAAAUAGAUGUAAAAACUGGAGCGACAUUGCAAUUUUAUUCUAACCAAAUGAAUUAACUGUUUUGGUAUCAUGUUCUCUUCUGGUUGAUAAAUUAAAUUGGAUUGUUUGGUGCAGAAAUAAAAAAAAAAUCACAGUUACAGAUGACCAACUUUCUUUGUAAAUGUCUUGCUCUUUCAGGUGUCUUUGCUGCUUCUUUUAGUUACCUGAACUAUUUCAGACAUUGAGGAGCACAUGAGAUUUGUUCAGACAUGUAUCCUUAGCUCCUCAGGUAAUUGCAAAACAACUUGAGAAUGAUGCACACUCAUGCUAACAUGGAUACAUGGUUCUCUUUCAGGUUAAUUGAAAGUUGUUUUUAAAAUCUGGAUACUCUUUUAAAAGAUAUAUGUAGUAUGUUGGUCCCGCAUGAAUGAACAAACUAAAAGAAGAGGAAGAAAUAGAUAUAGCCUCCUGUCUGUUUGAAUGAUAGCCAUCAACAUAUUCUAUUCAUUUCCUGAUUUAUAUGGUUACUAAAUCAAGAGCAAGAACUGCCUGAUGAUCAAGCUUCUUCUCAUUUCCCUAAAACCUAGCAUGCAGCUAGCUAGAUGAAGUUGUAUGCUUUGCCCCCAAUCAAUCAAAGUUGCUACAUGUACAUCUACUAUUUGUAACAUCAGGUCGGACGAAGUGUUCCAACAAUUACUAAAAUAUUUUGAGCAAAUGUGAUUCCAUGCUCAUGGUGGUUCUUAAGAAAUUCACAAAUUAUUUUGAUUUUCA